GAAAAGACGAUGCAAUUACAG
rnacentral:siRNA from 1 species